GUGGCGGACGGGUGAGUAACGCGUGAACAAUCUACCCUUAAGACCGGGAUAACAUCGGGAAACCGAUGCUAAUACCGGAUAUGCUCACACUGGGGCAUCCCAGAGUGAGGAAAGGGCUUACCGCUUAAGGAUGAGUUCGCGUCCCAUUAGCUAGUUGGUGAGAUAACAGCCCACCAAGGCGACGAUGGGUAGCCGGCCUGAGAGGGUGACCGGCCACACUGGGACUGAGACACGGCCCAGACUCCUACGGGAGGCAGCAGUGGGGAAUAUUGCGCAAUGGGGGAAACCCUGACGCAGCAACGCCGCGUGAGCGAAGAAGGCCUUCGGGUCGUAAAGCUCUGUCAUAAGGGACGAAGUCUCUCUUUAUGAGAGGUGACGGUACCUUAAGAGGAAGCCCCGGCUAACUACGUGCCAGCAGCCGCGGUAACACGUAGGGGGCAAGCGUUGUCCGGAAUUAUUGGGCGUAAAGGGCGUGUAGGCGGUUAAUUAAGUCAGGUGUGAAAACCCGGG
rnacentral:rRNA from 1 species